rnacentral:rRNA from 1 species
UAAGGGCUCACCAAGGCGACGAUCCCUAGCUGGUCUGAGAGGAUGAUCAGCCACACUGGAACUGAGACACGGUCCAGACUCCUACGGGAGGCAGCAGUGGGGAAUAUUGCACAAUGGGCGCAAGCCUGAUGCAGCCAUGCCGCGUGUGUGAAGAAGGCCUUCGGGUUGUAAAGCACUUUCAGUCGUGAGGAAGGUAGUGUAGUUAAUAGCNGCAUUAUUUGACGUUAGCGACAGAAGAAGCACCGGCUAACUCCGUGCCAGCAGCCGCGGUAAUACGGAGGGUGCGAGCGUUAAUCGGAAUUACUGGGCGUAAAGCGCAUGCAGGUGGUUUGUUAAGUCAGAUGUGAAAGCCCGGGGCUCAACCUCGGAAUAGCAUUUGAAACUGGCAGACUAGAGUACUGUAGAGGGGGGUAGAAUUUCAGGUGU